UACGGAGGAUGCAAGCGUUAUCCGGAAUGAUUGGGCGUAAAGCGUCCGCAGGUGGCUAUGUAAGUCUGCUGUUAAAGAGUGAGGCUCAACCUCAUAAGAGCAGUGGAAACUACAUAGCUAGAGUGCGUUCGGGGCAGAGGGAAUUCCUGGUGUAGCGGUGAAAUGCGUAGAUAUCAGGAAGAACACCGGUGGCGAAGGCGCUCUGCUAGGCCGCAACUGACACUGAGGGACGAAAGCUAGGGGAGCGAAUGGG
rnacentral:rRNA from 1 species